UGCGUAGGCGGAAUAUUAAGUCAGUGGUGAAAUCCUGCGGCUCAACCGUAGAACUGCCAUUGAUACUGAUGUUCUUGAAUGUAGUUGAGGUAGGCGGAAUGUGUAAUGUAGCGGUGAAAUGCUUAGAUAUUACACAGAACACCGAUUGCGAAGGCAGCUUACUAAACUAUGAUUGACGCUGAGGCACGAAAGCGUGGGGAGCGAACAGGAUUAGAUACCCUGGUAGUC
rnacentral:rRNA from 1 species